AGAUAUGAGGAUAAGUUGUUGACACCCAGUCUUACUAUCUAUAUUUAUAUGUGGUGAAAGAUCGACUAUCUGAUCU